rnacentral:rRNA from 1 species
CCUGGGAAUGGCGUUUUGAACUGGCAGUCUAGAGUGCGUCAGAGGGGGGUGGAAUUCCACGUGUAGCAGUGAAAUGCGUAGAGAUGUGGAGGAACACCGAUGGCGAAGGCAGCCCCCUGGGAUGACACUGACGCUCAUGUACGAAAGCGUGGGUAGCAAACAGGAUUAGAUACCCUGGUAGUCCACGCCCUAAACGAUGUCAAGUGGUUGUUGGGGGAGUGAAAUCCCUUUAGUAAGGAAGCUAACGCGUGAAGUUGACCGCCUGGGGAGUACGGUCGCAAGAUUAAAACUCAAAGGAAUUGACGGGGACCCGCACAAGCGGUGGAUGAUGUGGAUUAAUUCGAUGCAACGCGAAAAACCUUACCUACCCUUGACAUGUCCGGAAUCCUGCAGAGAUGCGGGAGUGCCCGAAAGGGAAUCGGAACACAGGUGCUGCAUGGCUGUCGUCAGCUCGUGUCGCGAGAUGUUGGGUUAAGUCCCGCAACGAGCGCAACCCUGAUCAUUAGUUGCUACGCAAGGGCACUCUAAUGAGACUGCCGGUGACAAACCGGAGGAAGGUGGGGAUGACGUCAAGUCCUCAUGGCCCUUAUGGGUAGGGCUUCACACGUCAUACAAUGGUCGGUACAGAGGGUUGCCAAGCCGCGAGGUGGAGCCAAUCCCAGAAAGCCGAUCGUAGUCCGGAUUGUUCUCUGCAACUCGAGAGCAUGAAGUCGGAAUCGCUAGUAAUCGCGGAUCAGCAUGUCGCGGUGAAUACGUUCCCGGGUCUUGUACACACCGCCCGUCCCCCCCAUGGGAACUGGAGAGAG